rnacentral:rRNA from 1 species
UUGGAAUGAUGGGAAUGUAAAACCCUUCCAGAGUAACAAUUGGAGGGCAAGUCUGGUGCCAGCAGCCGCGGUAAUUCCAGCUCCAAUAGUGUAUAUUAGAGUUGUUGCAGUUAAAAAGCUCGUAGUUGGAUUUCUGUCCCAGUGAGUGGGCGGCGCCCGUAUGGGUGUUUGCAUGCACUGACUGGGGCUUGCUUCCGGAAGCCUCCCCCGCUGCUUUGUUGGCGGUGGGGUUGGGGAGCUUUUUUUUUUUUAAAAAAAAAAUGUUGUUUCCAGGCUGGUCGCGCUCAUGAAUGCUGCAGGGAGGAAUAAUAUAAGACGACCGGGCUUCUUUGUUGUUGUUUGUAA